CACCUCAUCAACCAGAAGGAAUUCCUCCCGGUCGAUGGGGUUGUUAUACCUCAUCGACCGGAAGGAAUCCCUUGCGGCCAACAAGGUUGUUGUACCUCAUUGACCGGAAGGAAUCCCUUGCGUCAAACAAGGUUGUUGUACCUCAUCAACCAGAAGGAAUCCCUUCUGGUCGAUGAGGUU
rnacentral:miRNA from 1 species